ACGCUCGACACCUACGGAGGCAGCAGUUGGGAAUAUUGGACAAUGGAGGAAACUCUGAUCCAGUGACGCCGCGUGAAGGAAGAAGGUCUUCGGAUUGUAAACUUAUUUUGUCAGGGAAGAAACAAAUGACUGUACCUGAAGAAAAAGCACCGGCUAACUACGUGCCAACAGCCGCGGUAAUCUGAGCGGGCUGGCAAGGC
rnacentral:rRNA from 1 species